rnacentral:tRNA from 1 species
GGAGCAGUAGUUCAGUUGGUUAGAAUACCGGCCUGUCACGCCGGGGGUCGCGGGUUCGAGUCCCGUCUGUUCCGCCA